UCCUUCUCACUGGAGCCUCCAACAGAGCAUGGAUAUCCUGGUGCUGCUCCUCUGCCUGGUGACCUUCCCAAGCUGUGUCCUGUCCCAGGUGCAGCUGAAGGAGUCAGGACCCAGCAUGGUGCAGCCCUCAGAGACCCUGCCUCUCACCUGCACUGUCUCUGGAAUCUCAUUAAGUAGCAUUGCUGUAAGCUGGAUCCGCCAGCCUCCAGGAAAGGGACUGGAGUGGAUGGGAGAAAUAUGGAGUAAUGGAAAUACUUAUUAUAAUUCAGCUCUCCAAUCCCGAAUCAGCAUCACCAGGGACACCUCCAAAAGUCAAGUUUUCUUCAAACUGAAUAAUCUAAAAACUGAGGACACAGCCAUAUAUUACUGUGCUAGAAACACAGUGAGGGAACUCCAGUGUGAUCCUGCAUAUAAACCUCCCUGUAGAGACACCAAAGAACAGCAGGGGGCACUGAGGACCAACAGUGCCAUCUCAGGACCAGUAGCAGUUAUUUCAACAGUUCUGUGUUUGCUACUAUUUUGA